CACCGAGCCCAGAAGGCUAUUUGGAUAAUGGUACACUUUGACCUUAACUAGCUGGGUUUUCCCACACUUUCUUUUUACUUACAGUCUCUUUAUAUAUCCCCAGCUGUUCUGGAACUCAUUAUGUAGACCAGGCUGGCCUUAAUCUCAUGAGACCUGCCUGUCUCUGUCUUGCAAAUGCUCGAACUAAAGGCACAAAAGGCUUGCACCACCACAUCCAGCUCUCCUUGAUGGCUUCUCAGGAGCCUAAAGCCAAGGAACACCUAACACCAAUUCCUGAGGAAGGAGUAAGGACGGAGGUCACUGGACCCUCACUGAGUUCUGAGCCCCUCCUUCCAGCCAGAGGUAAAGAAACGCUGGAGAAGACUAGGAAGACUGAGCUCCGCCUUUGCCGCUCUGUGGAAGCCACCACCCAUACUGGCGGAGGACAGUUCUCUGUGGCCUGUCAGUAACCCCUCAACCCUGCUCUAGCUAAACCAAAGAAACUCACUGUCUUUCCAGGGUGAACUGUG
rnacentral:lncRNA from 1 species